rnacentral:lncRNA from 1 species
UUUAUUAUUAAUCGAAUAAGUUCUUAAUAAAUAUUAUUCAGUACUUAUUCAGUACUGAAUAUCACACAAUAAGUUCUGAAUAAUGUGACAUCCAUGUGAAUACAUACUGAAUAUCACACAAUAAGUUCUGAAUAAUGUUGACAUCCAUGUGAAUACAUACGAUAUAACAUCUAAAGUAUAGUAUUCAUGAAUAUAUUAUGUAAUCACAAUUUGUAAAUGAAUAGAAUACAAUUUCUAAAUGAGCAAAAUAUAUUCAGAUUUCCCCAAAUUUCCAGUAAUUAAGCUCAAUCUAGCACCCACGACCAAGACGCUUUGGGGAUUGGGCUGACGUAGCUUCUGCAAUGAAACAAAAAAGGAUUCAAUCAUAAACCCAUUAAAGAUUCAAGAUUAAAGUUUAAAAAAAGCUCCUGAUGCAAGAUGACGGAUUUCAGAUCACUUUUAGAAAACAUUGUUACUCUUGUAAAAACCAGACAUUUUCUCCAAGGAGAGAAAGACAAACGAUUAAAUUGACUAAAUAUAUAUGGUCUUCAGAAGGUAAAAUUCAAGAUCAAAGCAAAUGCUAAAGAUCAUUCGCCAAUAGAAAAUCAGCGUGAUGAAAUCUGACAAAAAUCAAAUAAUCACGGCAGGGGGGCAAACAAAAGACUAAUAAUGGGAACAAAAGACGUCUAAUGUAAAUAAAAUAACCUCACAUCAACUAUAAACACUUGUUUAUAAUGAAUCUAGAUGGUUACAUGCCGUAAUGGGCUAUCUAAAUAUUUGGGCAAGAAAGCACCAAUGGUUUUCCUAUAAAUUUCACAAGUGGAGAAAUUUAUGAGACGCUUGCUGUUUUUGAACAGUAUUUUAAUUUUCCAACAAAUUUUUCAUAAUUUUCCAAGAAAUUUCCCAUAAAUUUCUCAUAAUUCAUCGACAAGUGAAUCAUACCAAAUCGUAAAAGCAGACUAGUUGAUGCCGGCGACUGGGAGCCACGGUCCGGCCUACUGUGGACGAGUUGAUGCCGGCGACCGAAAGAUUCACCACCGUCGAUUUUCUUCAAAAAAAAAUCGCUGAAAAACCGAGGGUAUGGAUUGUUUGAUUUGCAGGAAUUAUGAAAACCCUAAUAAUUUACAGAAUAAAAGAAUGAAUGAAGGUGGAGGCGUGAAUUUCGGAAGGGAGAGAUUUCUGCAGAUCGUGUGUGGGGUUUAAAAGACCGAAUAACCCUUUUAUGAAUAUUAAAAUGAUUUAUAUUAAUUAAACAAUAUUUUUUAAUGAAUAUUCGGAAUUGAUCAUGGCCGCUUAUUUCUCAAGAUUGGACGGUAAGCAUUAAUUCUCUAUUCUUUAUUAUAUAGGGAUUCUCUAUAGAUCCCUCCCCUAUAUAUAUA